ACGUAGGGUCCGAGCGUUGUCCGGAAUUAUUGGGCGUAAAGAGCUCGUAGGCGGCUUGUCGCGUCGACUGUGAAAACCCGCGGCUCAACUGCGGGCCUGCAGUCGGUACGGGCAGACUAGAGUGCGGUAGGGGAGACUGGAAUUCCUGGUGUAGCGGUGAAAUGCGCAGAUAUCAGGAGGAACACCGGUGGCGAAGGCGGGUCUCUGGGCCGUAACUGACGCUGAGGAGCGAAAGCAUGGGGAGCGAACAGGA
rnacentral:rRNA from 1 species